rnacentral:rRNA from 1 species
CAGAACGAACGCUGGCGGCAGGUCUUAGGCAUGCAAGUCGAACGGAUGACAAGAGAGCUUGCUCUCUUGAAGUCAGUGGCGCACGAGUGAGUAACGCGUGGGAAACUGCCCUUCACUGGGGAAUAACGUUUGGAAACGAACGCUAAUACCGCAUACGCCCGCAAGGGGAAAGAUUUAUCGGUGAUGGAUGUGCCCGCGUUGGAUUAGCCAGUUGGUGGGGUAAUGGCCUACCAAAGCAAUGAUCCAUAGCUGGUCUGAGAGGACGAUCAGCCACGCUGGAACUGAGACACGGUCCAGACUCCUACGGGAGGCAGCAGCUAAGAAUAUUGGGCAAUGGAGGAAACUCUGACCCAAGCCAUGCCGCGUGAAUGAAGAAGGCCUUCGGGUUGUAAAGUUCUUUUAGUCAUGAAGAUGAUGACAGUAGUGACAGAAAAAGCACCGGCUAACUUCGUGCCAGCCGCCGC